AUUGAACGCUGGCGGCAGGCCUAACACAUGCAAGUCGAACGGUAACAGGAAACAGCUUGCUGUUUCGCUGACGAGUGGCGGACGGGUGAGUAAUGUCUGGGAAACUGCCUGAUGGAGGGGGAUAACUACUGGAAACGGUAGCUAAUACCGCAUAACGUCGCAAGACCAAAGAGGGGGACCUUCGGGCCUCUUGCCAUCGGAUGUGCCCAGAUGGGAUUAGCUAGUAGGUGGGGUAACGGCUCACCUAGGCGACGAUCCCUAGCUGGUCUGAGAGGAUGACCAGCCACACUGGAACUGAGACACGGUCCAGACUCCUACGGGAGGCAGCAGUGGGGAAUAUUGCACAAUGGGCGCAAGCCUGAUGCAGCCAUGCCGCGUGUAUGAAGAAGGCCUUCGGGUUGUAAAGUACUUUCAGCGGGGAUGAAGGGAGUAAAGUUAAUACCUUUGCUCAUUGACGUUACCCACAGAAGAAGCACCGGCUAACUCCGUG
rnacentral:rRNA from 1 species